rnacentral:tRNA from 2 species
GGAGGCAUUUAAUAUACCCCUGUAAUAACAACAAGUUACAAAAAAUUGUCGCGGGUUCGAUUCCCGCCGCCUCCACCA